AUCCCCUGGAGCCAGUAUGUGUGUGAUGUGUGUGUGUGAUGUGUGUGUGUGUUACGUAACCGUGUUCAGUUGUAGAAAAUAAUUUUUGGUCAUGUGUCAGGGUAGCAGAGUAUAAAAUAUCCUACAAAGUGAAGAACAGCUAGAAGACAGUACCUCAUAGCGUCAGUCUCAAUACAGACCUGUACAACAUCAUCAUGGUGUCUGUGUGUGUCUGUUACUCUGUAGAAGAGCGUUAGGAAGCAUGCAAGGUCAAGGGUUAGGGGUUAGGGUGCUAACGCCAUACAACUAGAAUGAUUAGAACACACAUCGCAUCACCAUUCCAUGUUCUGAGCCCAUUCAUGUGGGAUGUUGGAUUGACAUCAGAGUUGUGUCUCCAUGGUGAUACCAUUGUCUGGCUGGGUGUUCUGUUCAUUCCAGCUGUACGGGCUAAAGAAGGAAACCCUGAUUGGUGAUUCUAUCUAAUCUCAGCCCUCUGGCUAGCUAACUGCUAGUGUGGCGACUAGAGAGCCAUCAGUCCUAGUGCAAUAUGUGUUUGGUAGGGGUUAUCCCUGGUAGAGAGAGGGGAGAGCUGGGGGUUAUCCCUGGAAGAGAGAGGGGAGAGCUGGGGGUUAUCCCUGGUAGAGAGAGGGGGGAGCUGGGGGUUAUCCCUGGUAGAGAGAGGGGAGAGCUGGGGGUUAUCCCUGGUAGAGAGAGGGGAGAGCUGGGGGUUAUCCCUGGUAGAGAGAGGGGAGAGCUGGGGGUUAUCCCUGGUAGAGAGAGGGGGGAGCUGGGGGUUAUCCCUGGUAGAGAGAGGGGAGAGCUGGGGGUUAUCCCUGGUAGAGAGAGGGGAGAGCUGGGGGUUAUCCCUGGUAGAGAGAGAGCGGGGAGAGGAUCUCUCUCUCAGAAGAACCAAAUAGCGGGUUUAGAGCCCAGCCAAGGCUGUGUCAGAGGAGAGGAGGGAUCAGAAGUUAGAGGUCAUCACUCCAGACAUCCAGAUGAACAUCCUACCCAGUCCCAGGGUACACAGAGCAGUCUAUCAGUCUCUCUGUAUGGUUCAGCUCUUUUCCUGUACAACCUCUCCUCUCCUCUCCUCUCUCCUCUCCUCUCCUCUCCUC
rnacentral:lncRNA from 1 species